GAUGAACGCUGGCGGCGUGCCUAAUACAUGCAAGUCGAGCGAACAGACGAGGAGCUUGCUCCUCUGACGUUAGCGGCGGACGGGUGAGUAACACGUGGAUAACCUACCUAUAAGACUGGGAUAACUUCGGGAAACCGGAGCUAAUACCGGAUAAUAUAUUGAACCGCAUGGUUCAAUAGUGAAAGACGGUUUUGCUGUCACUUAUAGAUGGAUCCGCGCCGCAUUAGCUAGUUGGUAAGGUAACGGCUUACCAAGGCGACGGUGCGUAGCCGACCUGAGAGGGUGGAUCGGCAACAUGGGAAUGGAGAAAGGUCCCGACCUCGAAGGGGAGCAACAGUAGGGAAUCCUCCGCAAAGGGGGGAAGGCUUAAGGUGCAAAGGCGGCGGAAUGAUGAAGGUGUUAGGAUCGGAAAACCCUGUUAAUAGGGAAAAACAAAUGUUGUAGUAACUAUGCACGUAUUGACGGUACCUAAUUAGGAAGGCACGGCUAACCUCGUG
rnacentral:rRNA from 1 species